AGCAGCCGCGGUAAUUCCAGCUCCAAUAGCGUAUAUUAAAGUUGUUGCAGUUAAAAGCUCGUAGUUGAAUUUCGGGAUCAAUUUGCAGGUCGUGCCUUCGGUACGCACUGGUAUUAGUGGUUUCUCCCUUCUGAAGAACCUCGAUGCCAUUAAUUUGGUGUCGUGGGGAAUCAGGACUGUUACUUUGAAAAAUUAGAGUGUUUAAAGCAAGCAUACGCUUGAAUACAUUAGCAUGGAAUAAUGAAAUAGGACGUUUGAUUCUAUUUUGUUGGUUUCUAGGAUCGACGUAAUGAUUAAUAGGGAUAGUUGGGGGCAUUAGUAUUCAAUUGUCAGAGGUGAAAUUCUUGGAUUUAUUGAAGACUAACUACUGCGAAAGCAUUUGCCAUGGAUGUUUUCAUUAAUCAAGAACGAAAGUUAGGGGAUCGAAGACGAUCAGAUACCGUCGUAGUCUUAACCAUAAACUAUGCCGACUAGGGAUCGGAUGAUGUUAUUUUUAAUGACUCAUUCGGCGUACCCG
rnacentral:rRNA from 1 species